AAUGCUAACUCGCUUCUGGGUUUUUGCCUACUAAGUGACAUCAUAGUUCCACCACUCUAUAUGCAUUAGGUGAUCACUGAAAGAAAUGUGAGUGAUUUGGUGAGCAGAUGCUCAUGGCUCUCCAGUCUAGUGUUUGUUUAAGUAUUGUCAAAUUGCACUUUUGCAUUUCUUCUUCAUCUUGUCUUGCCACAUGACAAAAUUUUAUACUUACUAUAAUUAGUACUACCUAGUUCCAGCGGAACAUGACUGUGUGAAAAAGUCAACCUUUAGAAUAUCACCUCCCUGUUCCCUUUAGGCCUAAUAAAUAUACUUCCUGUUUCUCUAUGUAGUUCUAGGUUGUGGGAUUACAGAUUUAUAAAAUGUUAAAUCUAGGUUCCAAUGUAAUAUUAUGUACAUUGUGUUUUUACAUUUUGAGGUUAAGAUGAUGACAUUCUGAGAUGAUCAAGUCAAACAGCCCAGGUUUCUGAGAUAUUGACCUUUUGUUUGCUCUUCCUGACCAUCUGGCUUCUUAAGAUCAAGGCACAGCUGUGCCUUUGUUUCUAUGAUAAUGUGAAGGUAUGGGUGAUACUGUCAGGCACCUCUGUAUUUAAAUGACACUUUAAUGCUGAUGAGAUCAAGGCUUCAAAUUCCAUUUGCUUGCUUUGUUUAAAUUGUCUCCACCUCUAUGUAUCCCUCCCCCUUGAAAUGUAUAUAAACUCCAAAAUAUCACUGCUUUGGUGAGACUUUUGAUGACGGCAGUGCUAAGCAGAGCGUUCUCAAUAAAGAAUUCUGCUGAAGAUUACCCAAGAGUCUCCUGGUCUUCGCUUCAGAGUUUCCAACAGUUUUGGUGCCGUGCCCUGGAUAGAGCUUCUCACCUGAAUCCAGCUAUCCUCUGCUUUGCCAGGGAAAGUUAACAGGUGUGUUAACAAGUGUAUCCUCUGCUUGCCAGGGAAGUGUUAGAAGUGUCCUGUUGUGUCAGAAAGACUUUACAAAAUGUUGAGAAGGAAUGCUAAGCUGAUUCCAACAACUAAGAAAGGUGGACUAGCUACUCCUUCAUGGACAGACAGUGAGUUCAAAUCAUUUUUAGGACAGCACAUGGACUCAAUAGUGACAGAGUCAGUCAGAUUGAAUUUGAUAAAGAAAUUUGGUAUUGAUCCAGAAAAAGUAUGGUCAGUUGAAGAAUGUAAAAAGGUACUAGGAUCAUGUAUUCGCAAAAACAAUGUGAAAGGCAUUAUCUGCUGCCACAGAGAAUUUGGUUUAGCUUUAGCUACGCAACAUUCUCAGCGUAACUCAGAGCUAGAGAAACAGAACAAAGAGCUCAGAGCUAGAGUAUCCUCUUUGACUAAGGAAUUAAACUGCAGCAAAAUCUGAUGUGGUAGAAGUUAGUCAGCCUGAUAACAUUUAUCCUGACUUACAAGCUUUCUUUGAAACAGAUGUAGCCAUCCAGUCAGUAACUGAUGUGCCUGUAAAUUCAGUGAAGGUAUGUGGAGCUAGGAGAAGUUCUCAGGGAAUUGAGGGAACUGAAAGUGUUCCUCCCAACUCUUCUGUUGUCCGAGCUGUUGCCAAAGCGCUAAGACCUAAAGAUAUAGAGAGACUAUCCCAGAGUUUACUGAACGCACAAAUUUUACUGAAUUCAGAAGAGCAUUGAUCAGCAAAAUGAGUCUCUAUGACAUGUCGUUAGCAGAAGUCACACAGCUGAUGUCACAAAUUCUAACUGAAUCUGAAUUCAACAGUUUUGAGUGUGCUGUUACUUCUGAACUAUAACAUGCCAGUAAAGAUGAAUUAAGAGAGGGAGUUCUGAGAGAGUUAAAGAACAUUGUUAGACCAAAAGUGAAUUGGUCAAAGGUCACUAGUUGUGUACAGAAGGAGGCUGAAGCUGUGAGUGAAUACACUGAAAGAUUUUGAAAGUCACCAGUAACUUACAGUGGAAUAGUUGAUGAUCCUGAAAGUGUGUUAGAUGGGACCAUUAGUCCGCAUCUGGUCAGAUGGCCUUGUAGCUGAGUACAGAAAAGCCUUGCCAUUCCUAGAUCUAACUUGGUCUAACAAAACUCUCAGAAGAAAUCUAGACAGUUUAGCUACAUGGGAAAGAGACUCUGAUGUUAAAGUCAGAGUACACAUUGCAGCAGCAUCCUUUCAUGUCAACACAGUGAACCGACAGAAAUGUAGAUGUCUUAAGAAGGAGCGCAGUUGUCAUUACUGUGGUAAAACUGGACACUGGAUGAAAAAGUGUAGGAAUAGCAAAAAGACAUUAAGAGAAAUGAACAGCUUUACUCAGCUCCUAUUGAGUCUACUUACCACUCUAAAGCAGCCCCUCCCCACUUCACCUAACUGUUGAAGCAGCUUGCUCAGGUGUUAACUGUUAGGGCUGUGAGUGCUUAACUACCCCAGUAAUGUAUAACAAAGAUGAAAGAUUCUUUGAAAAUAAAACUACAGGAAGGUGACUGUCACUUCCUUUCAUUGAGAGAACGUUAAGUACACUCUCAGCCUUCAAAGCUAUAUUACAGCACACUCCAGUCACUCCUAUUCUCUUUGGGUUAUGAUGUUUUGUUAUGACUGAUGUUCCAUUAGAGGAUGGAGAUGUUGUACAGUCAAGUUUGCACACCAACUACAGGGACAGAUUAGGACACACACAGACCAGUGGGGAGCCCAAGGAAGAACCAAAGUGCAACGGGCCUCGGGGGCCAACCCUGUGGUGAAGACUUCCUCAUAGGUUUCCCCUAUCAGUAGUUUUAUCCCCACCUCACUGGUCCAUAGGUGUCAAAUUACUUAAAACUAGGUUGAGAAAAACACUAUACGAUCACCAGACUUAAAACCACUAUACGAUCAACAGAAGUCUAAAAAUGUCUAUGCAUGAAUACUGCUGGUCUGCUGUUUCUUUGUUUUCUUGUGUUGCAGGUAUGUGUGCAUGCCAUGUCACCUUCAUAUGCGGCACCCUGGUGUAAAGCAUCACCUAAGACAUCCAUGAACAAGCUUCAUGAGGACCAGGCGUCUCUACGUGGGAAAUGGACUACAGAAAACAGACUUCACAGCUAUUCAGGCGCCAUGGACUUCAAGACUUCCACUCUUAUGCUACAUGGUUUUCUGUGUCAUCAUGUAGUUUCCACGACAUGUUACCAUCCAUGUCAUAUGUGUCCACAGUUAUGGUUCUAAAAAUAACUAUUACACCUAAGUAAAUCUAGGACAAGACACAGAAUAAGAUAUGUGCCUUUUCAGGUUACAUGACUGCAAGAUGGGGCUUAUGUUAACACACAUAGGCCAUAGAAUGGACUUAUGAAGGUUUAAAUUUGUAUUAUGUGAGAGUUAUUAGAACUCUCAAUGGGAGGACUGUAGGAUUACAAAUUUAUAAAAUGUUAAAUCUAGGUUCCAAUGUAAUAGUAUGUACAUUGUGUUUUUACAUUUUGAGGUUAAAGGGUACAUAACAUACACAGUUUCACCAAAUCUCAUGUUAAUCUUUAGUACCUAUAGAGUAGUACUGCAUCCUUCAUAUCUCCAAAUAGUCUUUAGUUUUAUCAUAUUUAUAAAAGAAAAAUACAGCUUUCCGAUUCUCUCCGGAAAAAGCAGAGCUCCUGGAGGCGUGCCGUGGGUGGAGCUAUAAUACUGAUGUUUCGUGUUGUUUCCAUUAACAUACAGUAUAUUCACUUAUGUGCGAAUUUCCUACAAAAGACAGAAAUCUGAUGCAGUUGUACUUACAUGAAUUGGGUCUUUCAUCACUGGGUCCGCUCCAUUAUUUAAUAGCAAACCAUGUGAAAAUCCAGCGUCGACCUAGGCCUUGACUGAAAUGACGAGAACACACUGCAACACUCCGUUGCUGCCCCGGAAAAACAAACUGCAUCCACUGUUCGUGUAACGCUGGGUUUUUUGGGAAUCUGAACACGGUAAACCUUCCCUCACAUCCAAAAACACACUUAUUUAGAGACAUUCUUGAACAAAUCCUAUGAAGCGCUGCUGAGGAUUUGCCGAUGAAGAGCGUUGAUGGGCGCAGUCUUGCACUCCUCUGGUCGACGUGUGCAUGAGUGCGCUUUUCCGAGAGAAAUGCUCAUAUAAGGAGUUCCACCAUUGUCUUCCUCAUUCAAUCCACAAUCGAAAAAAAAAAACAGCUGAAACUUGUACCAACCCGGAAAUACCUGUAAGAUUUUCAGCACAGAUUUUCGGCACAGAAAUUCUCCUCCAUUGUCUGAAUUAUUUUUUAAAACUUUGGCCAUGUUAAGCAUGAGAAUCCAUCUCUUUAACACUGUGAACAACUCUGAAUACAUGAAACACCAUUGUAGCCCCCCUUUAAGAUGAUGACAUUCUGAGAUGAUCAAGUCAAACAGCCCAGAUUUCUGAGACAUUGACCUAUUGUUUGCUCUUCCUGACCAUCUGGCUUCUUAAGAUCAAGACACAGCUGUGCCUUUGUUUCUAUGAUAAUGUGAAGGUAUGGGUGAUACUGUCAGGGACCUCUGUAUUUAAAUGACACUGUUAUGCUGAUGAGAUCAAGGCUGGGAAAAUGCCAGUGUCUGGCAUUUUCCUGAUUCCAUUUGCUUGCUUUGUUUAAAUUGUCUCCAACUCUAUGUAUCCCUCCCCCUUGAAAUGUAUAUAAACUCCAAAAUAUCACUGCUUUGGUGAGACUUUUGAUGACUGCAGCGCCAUCCAGCGCGUUCUCAAUAAAGAAUUCUGCAGAAGAUUACCC
ensembl:lncRNA